rnacentral:rRNA from 1 species
CGCAAUGGGCGAAAGCCUGACGGAGCAACGCCGCGUGAGGGAUGAAGGCCUUUGGGCUGUAAACCUCUUUUCUCAAGGAAGAAGAUUUGACGGUACUUGAGGAAUAAGCCACGGCUAAUUCCGUGCCAGCAGCCGCGGUAAUACGGGAGUGGCAAGCGUUAUCCGGAAUUAUUGGGCGUAAAGCGUCCGCAGGCGGCCUUGUAAGUCUGUCGUUAAAGCGUGGAGCUUAACUCCAUUUCAGCGAUGGAAACUACAAGGCUUGAGUGUGGUAGGGGCAGAGGGAAUUCCCGGUGUAGCGGUGAAAUGCGUAGAUAUCGGGAAGAACCCCAGUGGCGAAGGCGCUUUGCUGGGCCCUUUCUGACGUUCCUGGACGAAAGUCA